AGCGAACGUUUGCGGCGGGCCUAACACAUGCAAGUCGAACGCACUAGCAAUAGUGAGUGGCGCACGGGUGCGUAACACGUGGGUAAUCAACCCUUCAGCCUGGGAUAACGACUCGAAAGGGUCGCUAAUACCGGAUACGGCGCGAGAGGCUUCGGCUUCUCACGAGAAAGCCACGCAAGGGGCACUGAAGGACGAGCCUGCGGCCCAUCAGCUAGUUGGUGAGGUAAGAGCUCACCAAGGCUAAGACGGGUAGCUGGUCUGAGAGGAUGAUCAGCCACACUGGAACUGAGACACGGUCCAGACUCCUACGGGAGGCAGCAGUGGGGAAUAUUGCGCAAUGGGCGAAAGCCUGACGCAGCCACGCCGCGUGAGCGAUGAAGGCCUCGGGUCGUAAAGCUCUGUGGGAGGAGACGAAGAAGACCUGUGAAGAGCAGGCCUUGACGGUAGUCUCCUUAGCAAGCACCGGCUAACUCCGU
rnacentral:rRNA from 1 species